GCAGUCGAGCGGAUGAAGGGAGCUUGCUCCUGGAUUCAGCGGCGGACGGGUGAGUAAUGCCUAGGAAUCUGCCUGGUAGUGGGGGAUAACGUCCGGAAACGGGCGCUAAUACCGCAUACGUCCUGAGGGAGAAAGUGGGGGAUCUUCGGACCUCACGCUAUCAGAUGAGCCUAGGUCGGAUUAGCUAGUUGGUGGGGUAAAGGCCUACCAAGGCGACGAUCCGUAACUGGUCUGAGAGGAUGAUCAGUCACACUGGAACUGAGACACGGUCCAGACUCCUACGGGAGGCAGCAGUGGGGAAUAUUGGACAAUGGGCGAAAGCCUGAUCCAGCCAUGCCGCGUGUGUGAAGAAGGUCUUCGGAUUGUAAAGCACUUUAAGUUGGGAGGAAGGGCAGUAAGUUAAUACCUUGCUGUUUUGACGUUACCAACAGAAUAAGCACCGGCUAACUUCGUGCCAGCAGCCGCGGUAAUACGAAGGGUGCAAGCGUUAAUCGGAAUUACUGGGCGUAAAGCGCGCGUAGGUGGUUCAGCAAGUUGGAUGUGAAAUCCCCGGGCUCAACCUGGGAACUGCUUCCAAAACUACUGAGCUAGAGUACGGUAGAGGGUGGUGGAAUUUCCUGUGUAGCGGUGAAAUGCGUA
rnacentral:rRNA from 1 species